UACGGGGGGGGCAAGCGUUGUUCGGAAUUACUGGGCGUAAAGGGCUCGUAGGUGGCCAACUAAGUCAGACGUGAAAUCCCUCGGCUUAACCGGGGAACUGCGUCUGAUACUGGAUGGCUUGAGUUUGGGAGAGGGAUGCGGAAUUCCAGGUGUAGCGGUGAAAUGCGUAGAGAUCUGGAGGAACACCGAUGGCGAAGGCAGCCCCCUGGGCUAACACUGACGCUCAUGCACGAAAGCGUGGGGAGCAAACAGG
rnacentral:rRNA from 1 species